UGUUGUUCCCAAGCUAUUCACUUUGAGCUGACAUUAAACACUCACCCUCUGUGCCAUCAGGCUCAGCCUGCUCCUCACGCUGCUUCUGCUUGAACUUCAUGUUACCAUGGUGGAGCACAGCACCAGUCAACUUGUAGAUGGACAUUUUCUCUUCAUGAGUGAAGCCCAGGAUAUCAAUAGCGUCUGAGUUCAAAAGAGCGUUGUGAAGGGAAAGA